rnacentral:misc_RNA from 1 species
CACCGCCGCCUACUGGGUCCACCACGCCGCCAGCGGGUCGUACCACGGCCGCACACCACGAGCCGAUGAAGCGGGAGUCACGGCUGCGGCGGCGGACGCUGAUUCGCAGCAGCAGGCACUGAUGCCGGCCGCCGCCGGUCAGGCUCCCGACAUGGUCGCUCGGUAUCAUGUGGUCGGCCGUAAGCAGGACGCGGCGGACCUCUUCAAGGGC